rnacentral:tRNA from 1 species
AAGGGAGACCUAAUUCGGGUAUAAGACGAAAAGAGAGUAGUCGAAACCAAGAAUCAAUCCCAAAAGGUCGGAACGAGGUAUGUGGCUUUCAAACUAGGUUCUGGGUUCACACAAGACCUGAAUCAGGAACAAGGGCUAUUAGCUCAGGUGGUUAGAGCGCACCCCUGAUAAGGGUGAGGUCCCUGGUUCGAGUCCAGGAUGGCCCACCUGCACAGGUGGCAAAAACAAAGAAGCGAGGAAUCAGCACCUUAUCUUAUCUAUAUAUAAGAGAGAAUGCUGGCUCUGAGUAAAGAGUCCAGAGGAACCUUGAAAACUGCAUAGAGCUAGGUGAAAAAGCCAAAAAAGAAGACCGCAA